CCUGAACAGGUGCACGCAGACUGGCCCUGCCCUCACUGGGAACCCCCUUCCUCCUGGGUGCCGGACAGAAUUUUGUGCCCUUUUCUGGAGGCUCCA
ensembl:miRNA